rnacentral:lncRNA from 1 species
CGCUCGAAGGUAUAAUUCUUGAUUAGGGUUUUGCUACUUCCCCAUUUCAAGCGACUCUUAAUCCAUUCAAGCAACGGUAAUGAGUAACCAAUACGCAAGCAGGCAACAAAUUUGAUUUUUCAGAACGUUAUUUUUAUUUGGAGGAAGAAAAUGGCUUUGACUGUGAUGAUUAUUAGGCUUCAGUCUUAUUGAGAUGAUGUCAAACAGCUUCAGUUACGCUAUGCAACAUCACUUAUUGGGUAAGUAUAAUUUAUUGAUUCGCUCUCUAUAUUUUUAAUUAGUCGGGUUGUGAACAAUACACACUUUUUUCAGAGGUCCAUCGACUCCAGCUACUUUUGUGGAUUUAUAUGCUAUUUUGAGCCCACCUUUCCUGAAUUUAUGACAAAGAGAGGCAGGGGCGUAGCUUAGUGUAAAGUGGGGGAUGCACCCGCCCGCCAGUGUUUCGGUUAGAAAUGUAAAAUUUCCUAUUUUUCGUCCAAAAUUUUUAAAAUUAAAUAGGAUUGUCUCCCCAAUUAUUUUGCCUAAAUAUUUAUACAAUAUAUAAAUUGGGUCCCAUGACUUUCCGUCCCCUCGGAACUUUUGGUCAAGCUCCGCCACUGAAGAGAGGUGUCUACACUCUUUUCUAUCCGGGGCUGCAUUUGCUUUUCCAAUUCCCUCUCGGUAUUCCGACUGUUGCCAUAAUCAUGGUUUUAAAAAACGGUUGAGGCGUGCGCCUCGAGGCGCGCCUCAAGGCGAAACGGCCAAA